rfam:Nomascus leucogenys chromosome 5, whole genome shotgun sequence.
UCCUCUAUCCUAGGACAAUAUACUAAAUGGAUUUUUGGAGCAGGGACGUGGACUAUGAGCUUGCUCUGUCCACUCCACGCAUCAACCUGGUAUUGCUGUACCUCUAGGAAUGGUGCACCCCUC